rnacentral:rRNA from 1 species
AUUGAACGCUGGCGGCAGGCCUAACACAUGCAAGUCGAACGAGUGGCGGACGGGUGAGUAAUGUCUGGGAAACUGCCCGAUGGAGGGGGAUAACUACUGGAAACGGUAGCUAAUACCGCAUACCAUCGGAUGUGCCCCGAUGGGAUUAGCUAGUAGGGGGGGUGACGGCCCACCUAGGCGACGCUCCCUAGCUGGUCUGAGAGGAUGACCAGCCACACGGGAACUGAGACACGGUGCGGAGGCCUACGGGAGGCAGCAGGGGGGAAUAUUGCAGAAUGGGCGCAAGCCUGAUGCAGCCAUGCGGCGUGUAGGAAGAAGGCCUUCGGGUUGGAAAGUACUUUCAGCGAGGAGGCGUUACUCGCAGAAGAAGCACGGGCUAACUCCGUGCCAGCAGCCGCGGUAAUAG